AUUGAACGCUGGCGGCAGGCUUAACACAUGCAAGUCGAGCGGGGUGAUGGUGCUUGCACUAUCACUUAGCGGCGGACGGGUGAGUAAUGCUUAGGAAUCUGCCUAUUAGUGGGGGACAACAUCUCGAAAGGGAUGCUAAUACCGCAUACGUCCUACGGGAGAAAGCAGGGGAUCCCUUGUGACCUUGCGCUAAUAGAUGAGCCUAAGUCGGAUUAGCUAGUUGGUGGGGUAAAGGCCUACCAAGGCGACGAUCUGUAGCGGGUCAGAGAGGAUGAUCCGCCACACUGGGACGGAGACACGGCCCAGACUCCUACGGGGGGCAGCAGUGGGGAAUAUUGGACAAUGGGGGGAACCCUGAUCCAGCCAUGCCGCGUGUGUGAAGAAGGCCUUAUGGUUGUAAAGCACUUUAAGCGAGGAGGAGGCUCUUUUGGUUAAUACCCAAGAUGAGUGGACGUUACUCGCAGAAUUAGCACCGGCUAACUCUGUGCCAGCAGCCGCCGUAA
rnacentral:rRNA from 1 species